rnacentral:rRNA from 1 species
GCAUAUCAAUAAGCGGAGGAAAAGAAACCAACCGGGAUUGCCCUAGUAACGGCGAGUGAAGCGGCAAGAGCUCAAAUUUGAAAGCUGGCCCCCUCGGGGUCCGCAUUGUAAUUUGCAGAGGAUGCUUCGGGAACGGCCCCCAUCUAAGUGCCCUGGAACGGGCCGUCAUAGAGGGUGAGAAUCCCGUCUGGGAUGGGGUGGCCGCGCCCGUGUGAAGCUCCUUCGACGAGUCGAGUUGUUUGGGAAUGCAGCUCUAAUUGGGUGGUAAAUUUCAUCUAAAGCUAAAUAUUGGCCGGAGACCGAUAGCGCACAAGUAGAGUGAUCGAAAGAUGAAAAGCACUUUGAAAAGAGAGUUAAACAGCACGUGAAAUUGUUGAAAGGGAAGCGCUUGCGACCAGACUCGCCCGCGGGGUUCAGCCGGCACUCGUGCCGGUGUACUUCCCCGCGGGCGGGCCAGCGUCGGUUUGGGCGGCCGGUCAAAGGCCUCUGGAAGGUAACGCCUCUCGGGGCGUCUUAUAGCCAGGGGUGCCAUGCGGCCUGCCCGGACCGAGGAACGCGCUUCGGCUCGGACGCUGGCAUAAUGGUCGUAAGCGACCCGUCUUGAAACACGGACCG